CCUGCUUCAGCCUCCCGAGUAGCUGGGACUACAGGCGCCUGCCACGACGCCCGGCUAAGUUUUUGUAUUUUUAGUAGAGACGGGGUUUCACCGUGUUAGCCAGGAUGGCCUGGAUCUCCUGACCUCGUGAUCCGCCCGCCUUGGCCUCCCAGAGUGCUGGAUUCCAGGCGUGAGCCACCGCGCCCGGCCCCUCUUUCUCCAUCUUUAAAGACAGCAGGACAUGGAGAACAACCACGGCUGUGCCCGGUUCUUCAGGUGGCUGCCAGUCCCCCCGUGCCUGCUCCCUGUCCCUGCCUGCCUUCCCGCUGAUGAUGACUGACGUUCUGGGACGGAGGAGCAGGUUAGGCCUAGGUACAGUUGUGUGCUGGUAAAUUUGUAACAAAAGGCUCUCCAGGGGAAGAAAAGCCCUGAUUUUCAGUGUUUGCCAAUUUCCACGGUAUUAAAAGUACUCACACCAAGGCCGGUUUUAAGCAGUGCUCCUGAAGUCCCUGAAGACAGAGUUGAAAAGCAUCGUGCACAGUUGACUCUUCUAAGCUAGUCCGAGCUGGCUCCAACACACUACUGCCUAUGAAUGAAACUGUUGAUCAGAGUUGCAGUAUUGAUUCUUCCUGUGGCCAUGGAUACACAUAUGGAAAAAGAGGAAGUAUUCUAGAGAAUAUAAAAAGACUUCUUGAGUACUAAGAGGUCGUGAAGACAGCUUUGGAAAUGUUAUAAGCGUCAAGAUUCGCUCAAGAUACACCUGCUUCUCUUGCAAAAGGCUACUUCAGCAAGCCUGUUCUCUUUGGAAAUCUCCAGAGGAGACAGAGGUGUCAGUGUCUAUGGAAAUGUACAACUCACACGUUUGGGAAUCUGACAUGCCCUUCCAAGAACUCCCUCUUCUACUCCGUUCUACUCCACUAUGAGCAUUAUUCAAAAGAGCCAAGAUAUGGAAGCAACUGAAGUGCUCAUCAACAGGUGAGUGGAUUUUUAACAAGUAGUAUAUGUACAUGAUGGAAUAUUAUUUGGCCUUAGAAAUGAAAGAAAUUCUGUCAUUUGUGACCACAUGGAUGAAUCUAGAGGACAUUAUGCUAUGUGAAAUAAGCCAGGCACAGAAAGACAAAUAUCACAUGAUCUCACUUCUGUGUGGAAUCUAAAAAAGUCAAACUCUUAGAGAAGUAGAAAACAGAAUAGUGGUUACGAGAAGCAGAGGGGAGGGGAGGAGAGUGCAUGGUGAAAGAGAUGUUGGUCAAAGGUACAAAGAUUAGUUAGACAUGAGAAAUAAGUUCUGGUGAUCUGUACAGCAUGGUGACUAUAGUGAAUAAUGUACUGUAGAUUUCAAAAUUACUAUAAAAGAAUGGAUUUUUAAUAUUCUCACUAUAGGGAAAUGAUAAGUGUGUGAGGUGAUGGAUGUAUUAGCCUGAUUCCAUCCUUCCACAAAUGCAGACAUGUAUCAAAAGAUCACAUUGUACUCCAUAAAUAUGUAUAUUUAUUAUUUG
rnacentral:lncRNA from 1 species